rnacentral:rRNA from 1 species
UACCACGGAGUGAUUCAUGACUGGGGUGAAGUCGUAACAAGGUAACCGUAGGGGAACCUGCGGUUGGAUCACCUCCUUACCUUAAA